rnacentral:lncRNA from 1 species
CACCUCGUUGAUAAAGGAGGAACCCCAUCCCUAAAGUGCACGAUGGCCAAAUCCACAGCACCUGACCCUGGAUAUAUGCAAUUAACAGCACUUUGCUAGUCACAUAUGAUCACAGCCUCAGGGAAGAGGAUUGCAUUCCAUGCAGAGCAAUGCAGUGGGACACUUACAAGCAGAUAGAACCCGAAAAGAUUGUCAGAGGGAGGCAUUGUAGUGACAAGAGGGUGAGGUAACCCUUGGUUUCUACAGGAGAAUGUGAUUGCUUUUUCUGAAUAAUUUCUCAGACUAGUAGAAACGUGAAACCCGUUAGCUUAAGGACGAGUUUGGUGUAGCUGAUCAAACUAUUAAGGAAACUAGCUUUGGCAUAAUCUGGGGAAACUUUCCCUCUGGGUUGGGUAGCUGCAGCGAGCAGGACUCAGGGCCCCCCCUAAACAAGGGGUAUUUGUUCCAGGACUGCCCCCCACCUAAAAAAAAAAAAUCCAAAGGUGCUGAAAUCUCUUAUAGAGUAUAAUGUUUUCAUAUAAACUAUGCUACGUAAAUAGUUGUUAUACUGUACUUUUUAUAUUUAUUUUUAGUUUUUUCUGAUUUUUUCAGGCCGCUAUUGACUGAAUCUGCUGAUGUGAAACUCGCAGAUACAGACGGGCAGCCUUUGGUCAGCAAAGAGUCACGUCUACCCAGCUGGAGCUCCUGAUCUACUCAGCCACAGAUACUCGUGCUGUUUCCUCAAGCUCUGUCCAUUGGGACUUCCAACCCCUUCGGGAGUCCAGAACUUCUUCAUUCUGCAAAACUGAAACUUUGUACACCUUGACCAACAUCCUUGUCCCACCUUGAAGAGACCUAUUUGUCCCUUCCUUCAGCUUCUGGUAACCAGCAUUCUACUAUAUUUCUAUGAAUUUAAUUAUUGUAGAUUCCACAUGUAAGUGAGAUAAUGUAGUAUUUGUCUUUCUACGUUUGUCUUAGUUCACUUAGCAUAAUGUCUGCCAGCUCAGAAGACUUACCAUAACGUCUCCAACAAGGAUUUAUUGUGCAAAUGGGAGGAUUUCCUUUGUUUUUUAAGGCCCACUAAUCUUAUUUAGUGUGUCUGUGUGUGCGUGUGUGUGUGUAUACACAAUGAAAUAUUAAUAUACAUGCCCAAAUUUCUUUAUAUAUUUUUAAUCCUUUGUUGAGCAUUUGGAUUUUUUUAAUUUCUUGGCUACUAUGAAUAAUGCUAAAAUGAACACAAGGGUGUAGAUGUCUCUUACAUCUUGAUCAUAUUUUCUUUGGAAAUAUACCCAAAUUAUAGUUGUCGAAUUAUAACGUAUUUCUAUUUUAAGUGUUUUUAGAAACUUCCAUACUGUUUUGUAUACUGACUGAACCAUUUUGAAUGCCCAGCAACAGUGUACAAGGAUUCCUUUUACUGCACAUCCUUGCCAACACUUAUCUUUCAUCUUUCUGAUAGUCGCCA